rnacentral:rRNA from 1 species
GGUAGCACAGAGGAGCUUGCUCCUUGGGUGACGAGUGGCGGACGGGUGAGUAAUGUCUGGGAAACUGCCCGAUGGAGGGGGAUAACUACUGGAAACGGUAGCUAAUACCGCAUAAUGUCGCAAGACCAAAGAGGGGGACCUUCGGGCCUCUUGCCAUCGGAUGUGCCCAGAUGGGAUUAGCUAGUAGGUGGGGUAACGGCUCACCUAGGCGACGAUCCCUAGCUGGUCUGAGAGGAUGACCAGCCACACUGGAACUGAGACACGGUCCAGACUCCUACGGGAGGCAGCAGUGGGGAAUAUUGCACAAUGGGCGCAAGCCUGAUGCAGCCAUGCCGCGUGUAUGAAGAAGGCCUUCGGGUUGUAAAGUACUUUCAGCGAGGAGGAAGGUGUUGAGGUUAAUAACCUCAACAAUUGACGUUACUCGCAGAAGAAGCACCGGCUAACUCCGUGCCAGCAGCCGCGGUAAUACGGAGGGUGCAAGCGUUAAUCGGAAUUACUGGGCGUAAAGCGCACGCAGGCGGUCUGUCAAGUCGGAUGUGAAAUCCCCGGGCUCAACCUGGGAACUGCAUCCGAAACUGGCAGGCUAGAGUCUUGUAGAGGGGGGUACGAAUUCCAGGUGUAGCGGCGAAAUGCGAUAGAGAUCUGGACGAAUAC